rnacentral:rRNA from 1 species
AUGGUGAUGUUGCCCUCUUCACUCAUCAUCUAUAAUUGUGAGGAUCAUGUUCUUUUCAUGCUUAUCCAUUUAACCGGAGUGUUGUGUCAUCUCUUCAAGUUCCUUUCUUCUUAUCAAGUUUUCCUUCUUCUUUCAGUUGGAGUGCUGCCCAAAUUAUAUCAUUCUUAUUCAUUCUUAUCUCGUUUCAACCAGAGUGGUUUCAAUUCCUUCUUGUCCAUUGUACUCGUCAUUCAUAGCUUUGCAACCUCCAAGGUUCACAUGGUGUUCCUUGUUUUCUAUUUUCUACCGCAGUGCUCUCAAUUGUGUUCAAUUCCGUUGUGUUCUUUCUUCCAACUUUUCAACCUCUCAAGGUUAUUUGGUUUCACUCAUUGGUCGAAGAAGCAACUUAGUUUUACCGCUUAUCUUCCUCUUCCUUCUCCCUCCGAUGCCAUCCUAGAUCUCGGGACGAGAUCCUCUCGUAGUGGUGGAGUGUUGUAA